rnacentral:rRNA from 1 species
CACCGCGGUUAUACGAGAGACCUAAGUUGAUAGCCUUCGGCGUAAAGAGUGGUUAAGACAAGUUUAAAACUAAAGCCAAAUGACUUCAAAGCUGUUAUACGCACAUGAAAGUACGAAGCCCAAUCACGAAAGUGGCUUUAAUAUUCUGACUCCACGAAAGCUAUGACA